CAAACUUCCCUUCCAGCGUCUGGUGCGAGAAAUUGCUCAGGACUUCAAAACAGAUCUGCGCUUCCAGAGUGCAGCUAUUGGUGCUUUGCAGGAGGCAAGUGAGGCCUAUCUGGUUGGCCUUUUUGAAGAUACCAACCUGUGUGCUAUCCAUGCCAAACGUGUAACAAUUAUGCCAAAAGACAUCCAGCUAGCACGCCGCAUACGUGGAGAACGUGCUUAAGAAUCCACUAUGAUGGGAAACAUUUCAUUCUUUAAAAAAAAAAAAAAAAAAUUUCUCUUCUUCCUGUUAUUGGUAGUUCUGAAUGUUAGUUAUUUUUUUUUUCCAUGGGGUCAAAAGGUACCUAAGUAUAUGAUUGCAAGUGGGAAAAUAGGGGACAGAAAUCAGGUAUUGGCAGUUUUUCCAUUUUCAUUUGUGUGUGAAUUUUUAAUAUAAAUGCGGGGGACAAAGCAUUAAUG